UACGUAGGCAGCAAGCGUUGUUCGGAAUUACUGGGCGUAAAGAGUGUGUAGGCGGUGCUCUAAGUUCGGUGUGAAAUCUCCCGGCUCAACUGGGAGGGUGCGCCGGAAACUGGAGUGCUGGAGCGCGGGAGAGGAAAGCGGAAUUCCUGGUGUAGCGGUGAAAUGCGUAGAUAUCAGGAGGAACACCGGCGGUGUAGACGGCUUUCUGGACCGUAGCUGACGCUGAGAAACGAAAGCGUGGGUAGCAAACAGG
rnacentral:rRNA from 1 species